UAGUCUGGGAAACUGCCUGAUGGAGGGGGAUAACUACUGGAAACGGUAGCUAAUACCGCAUGAUGUCGCAAGACCAAAGUGGGGGACCUUCGGGCCUCAUGCCAUCAGAUGUGCCCAGAUGGGAUUAGCUAGUAGGUGGGGUAACGGCUCACCUAGGCGACGAUCCCUAGCUGGUCUGAGAGGAUGACCAGCCACACUGGAACUGAGACACGGUCCAG
rnacentral:rRNA from 1 species